UCCUUGGAAAGAAACUUGAAACUCUAUACCUUGUAGGACAUGCUGUUUAACUUCGGUAGAGUCUCGGCUUAAUUUCUAAGAUUUUUCUCUCAAAAAUCCGACAAUAUUCCGUUUUAAGCAAUAUCUUAAGCUCGUGGAUUCUCCCUUCGUUGGUUAUGAGCUUUCGCUCUCCUUUCUUUUCUCUUUGUUUUUCUCCUCUCC
rnacentral:lncRNA from 1 species